rnacentral:rRNA from 1 species
GGAAUUUUGGACAAUGGGCGAAAGCCUGAUCCAGCCAUGCCGCGUGCAGGAUGAAGGCCUUCGGGUUGUAAACUGCUUUUGUACGGAACGAAAAGACUCCUUCUAAUAAAGGGGGUCCAUGACGGUACCGUAAGAAUAAGCACCGGCUAACUACGUGCCAGCAGCCGCGGUAAUACGUAGGGUGCGAGCGUUAAUCGGAAUUACUGGGCGUAAAGCGUGCGCAGGCGGUUAUAUAAGACAGAUGUGAAAUCCCCGGGCUCAACCUGGGAACUGCAUUUGUGACUGUAUAGCUAGAGUACGGUAGAGGGGGAUGGAAUUCCGCGUGUAGCAGUGAAAUGCGUAGAUAUGCGGAGGAACACCGAUGGCGAAGGCAAUCCCCUGGACCUGUACUGACGCUCAUGCACGAAAGCGUGGGGAGCAAACAGGAUUAGAUACCCUGG